rnacentral:rRNA from 1 species
UACAGAGGGUGCAAGCGUUGUUCGGAAUUACUGGGCGUAAAGGGCGCGUAGGCGGCUUGGUCAGUCCCGUGUGAAAUCCCUCGGCUCAACUGAGGAACUGCACGGGAAACUGCCUGGCUUGAGUUCGGGAGAGGGUAGCGGAAUUCCCGGUGUAGUGGUGAAAUGCGUAGAUAUCUGGAGGAACACCGGUGGCGAAGGCGGCAUCCUGGACCGGUAUUGACGCUGAGGCGCGAAAGCCAGGGGAGCAAACGGG